ensembl:snoRNA
UAGUCCAGUGAUGAGACUGGAGGGUGUCUGAAUCAGAAACUUUGAUUAUCUCAUUGUCACUCUGAGGUCCUU